GUAGGGAAUAUUGCACAAUGGAGGAAACUCUGAUGCAGCGACGCCGCGUGAGUGAUGAAGGCCUUCGGGUCGUAAAGCUCUGUCGCAGGGGAAUAACACAAUGAAGGUACCCUGUAAGAAAGGAUCGGCUAACUUCGUGCCAGCAGCCGCGGUAAGACGAGGGAUCCUAGCGUUGUUCGGAAUCAUUGGGCGUAAAGCGGAUGUAGGUGGCUAUGUAAGUCAGAUGUGAAAGCCUGGGGCUCAACCCCAGAAGUGCAUUUGAUACUGCGUAGCUUGAGUGUCGGAGAGGUUACUAGAAGUGUUGGUGUAGUGGUGAAAUACGUAGAUAUCAACAGGAAUACCGGAGGCGAAGGCGGGUAACUGGCCGAACACUGACACUGAGAUCCGAAAGCGUGGGGAUCAAACAGGAUUAGAUACCCUGGUAGUCC
rnacentral:rRNA from 1 species